AUGCCUUCCUCCUGGCUACUACAACCUCGGACCAACAGCUCCGCCCCCCCCUCCCCCGCAGCUACUCGCCCACGCCUCCCCAGCUUCUUCUUCACUCAAAUCCAGAUAGCAGAUGUUCUGAAAGGGCUGCAAUUCCUGGACCCAUACAAAUCAGCUGGGCUUGACAAUCUGGACCCUCUAUUUCUGAAACUAUCUGCCGCCAUUGUCGCAACCCCUAUUACCAGCCUGUUCAACCUUUCCUUUGUAUCAUCUGAGAUGCCCAAGGAUUGGAAAGCUGCCACGGUCAUCCCCCUCUUCAAAGGGGGAGACACCCUGGACCCAAACUGUUACAGACCUAUAUCCAUCCUGCCCUGCCUAUCAAAGGUCUUCGAAAGCCAAGUCAAUAAACAGAUCACUGACCAUCUCGAAUCCCACCGUACCUUCUCCGCUGUGCAAUCCGGUUUCCGAGCUGGUCACGGGUGCACCUCAGCCACGCUCAAGGUACUAAACGAUAUCAUAACCGCCAUCGAUAAAAGACAGUACUGUGCAGCCGUCUUCAUCGACCUGGCCAAGGCUUUCGACUCUGUCAAUCACCAUAUUCUUAUCGGCAGACUCAGUAGCCUCGGUUUUUCUAAUGACUGCCUUGCCUGGUUCACCAACUACUUUGCAGACAGAGUUCAUUGUGUCAAAUCUAUGUUGUCCGGUCCUCUGGCAGUCUCUAUGGGGGUACCACAGGGUUCAAUUCUCGGGCUGACUCUUUUCUCUGUAUAUAUCAAUGAUGUUGCUCUUGCUGCGGGCGAUUCCCUGAUCCACCUCUACGCAGACGACACCAUUCUGUAUACUUCUGGCCCUUCCUUGGACACUGUGCUAUCUAACCUCCAAACGAGCUUCAAUGCCAUGCAACACUCCUUCCGUGGCCUCCAACUGCUCUUAAACGCGAGUAAAACCAAAUGCAUGCUUUUCAACCGUUCGCUGCCUGCACCCACACGCCCGACUAGCAUCACCACCCUGGAUGGUUCCGACCUAGAAUAUGUGGACAUCUAUAAGUACCUAGUUGUCUGGCUAGACUGCAAACUCUCCUUCCAGACUCAUAUCAAACAUCUCCAAUCCAAAAUCAAAUCUGUAGUCGGCUUUCUAUUUCGCAACAAAGCCUCCCUCACUCACACCGUAAAACUUACCCUAGUAAAACUGACUUUCCGACCGAUCCUCGACUUCGGCGAUGUCAUCUACAAAAUAGCUUCCAAUACUCUACUCAGCAAACUGGAUGCAGUUUAUCACAGUGCCAUCCGUUUUGUUACUAAAGCACCUUAUACCACACACCACUGCGACCUGUAUGCUCUAGUCGGCUGGCCCUCGCUACAUGUUCGUCGCCAGACCCACUGGCUCCAGGUCAUCUACAAGUCUAUGCUAGGUAAAGCCCCGCCUUAUCUCAGUUCACUGGUCACGAUGGCAACACCCACCCGUAGCACGCGCUCCAGCAGGUGUAUCUCACUGAUCAUCCCUAAAGCAAAAACCUCAUUUGGCCACCUUUCCUUCCAGUUCUCUGCUGCCUGUGACUGGAACGAAUUGCAAAAAUUGCUGAAGUUGGAGACUUUUAUCUCCCUCACCAACUUUACACAUCUGCUAUCUGAGCAGCUAACUGAUUGCUGCAGCUGUACAUAG
rnacentral:lncRNA from 13 species